rnacentral:rRNA from 1 species
AUUGAACGCUGGCGGCAGGCCUAACACAUGCAAGUCGAGCGAGCGGGGGACGGGUGAGUAAUGUAUGGGGAUGUGACUGAUGGCGGGGGAUAACUACUGGAAACGGUAGCUAAUACCGCAUACCAUCAGAUGACCCCAUAUGGGAUUAGCUUGUUGGUGAGGGAACGGCUUACCUGGGCGACGAUCCCCAGCUGGUCUGAGAGGAUGACCAGCCACCCUGGGACUGAGACACGGCCCAGACUCCUACGGGAGGCAGCAGUGGGGAAUAUUGCACAAUGGGCGUAAGCUUGAUGCAGCCAUGCCGCUUGUAUGAAGAAGGCCUUCGGGUUGUAAAGUACUUUCAGUCGGGAGGCGUUACCGACAUAAGAAGCACCGGCUAACUCCGUGCCAGCAGCCGCGGUAAUUC